rnacentral:lncRNA from 1 species
UGUCAAUGUACAAAUCACAACACUUCUUCCUGGUUUGGCUUCUUUACCCCCUAUCUAAUGAGAAUAUUUGUGGAGAUAAUGCAACCACAUUGGCUACAAAAAUCUACUGAUUUCACUUCCAAGACUGUGAAGAGUUGUUAAUCUGUGGUUGGGGCUAGACUUAGAAAAUAUGCAAAUUUUGUGGCCCUUAUAAAGCUUAAAGUUCUAACACUUAUCCCUUCCUUGUCAGCCUACUGUCCUCUGGGGAAUAAAUUUAACUUCAAAUAUAUUUUAGUGCAGGAGUGAGGCAAAGCCUUUAUGUACUGCAAUAGUGACUAUUACCUUGGUGUCUCCGUCUCACUAGAUGUCUAACUGACUUCCUUGCAUCCUACAUAAAUGCUUUUUUUUAAAUAAAAUUUGAGGGUCAGUUUUCCUUGAUAUCGAACUCCUUUGGACAGCAAGUCCUCUGACCUAAACCCAAGGGUCAUUUCUUGGAUAUUAGGAAUCUAAUGAAGCAUUUCUAGUAUGUCUGAAAAAAAUCCCUAGGGCAGAAAUCUUUGAAAUUACUAUUUCUCCUGAUAGAAACAUAAUGUAAAUACAUGAUUUAAAAAACUGGUCCAGUCUGUAAAAUGUCUAUUAUAUACACAGAGGAGACAUUUAAAAAGUGAUUUUAAAGUCACAUUCUCCUUUCUCCCUUGUGCACUUAACUGACUCAGAAUAGCUAACACUAUCCAUUCUGUUCACAGAACAUGCCCAGGACUUGCUGAACAAGCAGAGCUAGCAGGCUACUAUCCUACUCUACUGCCUGAUGGAUACCGUAAGUCAAGGAAUGCAGAUGGCUUACAGGACUUGAAAAAGAAAUAUUUUCCCUACUGCCUCCAAAACGAAUGCAACUCUCUUGAGAUAUUCAUUUUGGCCCAGUGAAACCGUUCUUGGACUUCUGAUCUGCAGAACUGUAAGAUAAGACAUUUGUGUUGUUUUAAACCACUAAAAAUUUUUCUGGUAAUUUUUACCGCAGCAAAUAUGAUAUAUAGUCCAUAUCACACAAAGGAUUUUCAAU